GACGAACGUUGGCGGCGUGCUUAAUACAUGCAAGUCAACUGAAGCAUCGDCGUAGCAAUACUGAUGUGGAGGUGGCGCACGGGUGAGUAACACGUAGGUAAUCUGCCUUCAGGUCUGACAUAACCCCGGGAAACCGGGGCUAAUAUCAGAUGAUGCAGCGGCUUGACAUCAAGACAGUUGUUAAAGCUUCGGUGCCUGAAGAUGAGCCUGCGUCUGAUUAGCUAGUUGGCGGAGUAAUGGCCCACCAAGGCUACGAUCAGUAGCUGGUCUGAGAGGAUGAUCAGCCACACUGGAACUGAGACACGGUCCAGACUCCUACGGGAGGCAGCAGUAAGGAAUAUUGCUCAAUGGGAGAAAUCCUGAAGCAGCAACGCCGCGUGAGGGAUGAAGGGCUUUUGCUCGUAAACCUCUGUAGUGAGGGAAAAAAUUUCCACUCUGUGGAAUAUGAUGGUACCUCAAAAGUAAGCCCCGGCUAACUACGUGC
rnacentral:rRNA from 1 species